GGCUUGGCUCCAUCUCCCAGGACAUUGCAGUCAGCCUUCGCCCCUUCAUUGAUGACGAGAGGGACAGCGUGCGCUCCGUUGCCAUUUUACUGCUUGGCAACGUGGUGAGCAGCGUGAAGGACCCGGACAAACCCAUCGUGCAGCAGAAGAUGAUCCACUGCUUGCUCCCGCUCCUGCUGCACCUUGAAGACCGGGAUGAGAGUGUGACACUGAGAUGCAAACUGACGCUCUUCCGCUGCGCAGUGUUUCUCAGGUGGGCUCAUUUGAAGACGCUGUUCCGCAGCAUGGCCUGGGAUGGCUCCACACAGCUCCGGAAGUGUGCCUGGAAGUGCUUGUAGGUGAA